GAUGAUAGCGAAAUGGGCUUUAUAGGUCUCCACCUUCCCAUCUGUGCUACUCUGAACCUUUUGAAAAAUCUAUUCACACCCAAUGGAUUUUAUCCCUUCAGGUGAAUCAUCUAGUGUCCAUACACUACUGAUUUUCAUAGACUUCAAUGUGAAUUUAAUGGCUCCAAGCCACUUCUCAGAGUUAGACCACUGCAUUGCAUCCCUAUAGGUGAUCGGAUCCUUGUUAAUCUCAUCGAGAUCAACAGGAUCGCCGUCCCAGACCUAGACACUGAAGUGUCUAUCUGGCUAACGCGGUACUCUACCAGAUCUUCUUAAAGGUGUUACUUUAAUAGGCUCCGAGUUUGAUCUAAUCAAAUCCGGUUCUGCAGGUUUACUAGAUUAUGUCAGUUCAUUUUCUACCAGUCAAACUUUCAAGUUCAACUUGAUAGGCAUCAGUUCCUUCUUUAAGGAACUUCUUUCCAAAAGGAAUGCCCUACUGCUGAUGAGCAUCUUAUGUUCUUCAGUAUGACAGAAUUAGUAACCCUUAAACAACUAUUGGAUCAAGAAUCAAGUUUAUUUGUAUGCAAACCUUUGACAUAGGCCGAUCAACUCCAAACCCAAAGGUGAGAGAGUCUAGGUCUAUGCCCGAUCCAUAUCUCAUAUGGAAUCUGCAC
rnacentral:lncRNA from 1 species